UGCGUAGGUGGUGAGGUAAGUCGGAUGUGAAAGCUCCGAGCUCAACUCGGAAAUGGCAUUGGAAACUACCUUGCUAGAGGGUUUGAGGGGGGACUGGAAUACUUGGUGUAGCAGUGAAAUGCGUAGAUAUCAAGUGGAACACCAGUGGCGAAGGCGAGUCCCUGGAAAACUCCUGACACUGAGGCACGAAAGCUAGGGAGCAAACA
rnacentral:rRNA from 1 species